rnacentral:rRNA from 1 species
GACGUAGGGUGCGAGCGUUGUCCGGAAUUAUUGGGCGUAAAGAGCUCGUAGGCGGUGUGUCGCGUCGGUCGUGAAAACUUGGGGCUUAACCCUGAGCUUGCGGUCGAUACGGGCAUCACUGGAGUUCGGCAGGGGAGACUGGAAUUCCUGGUGUAGCGGUGAAAUGCGCAGAUAUCAGGAGGAACACCGGUGGCGAAGGCGGGUCUCUGGGCCGAUACUGACGCUGAGGAGCGAAAGCGUGGGGAGCGAACAGG